GGGGAAUUAGCUCAGUUGGUAGAGCGCCUGCUUUGCAAGUAGGAUGUCAACGGUUCGAGUCCGUUAUUCUCCA
rfam:Synechococcus phage S-SKS1 genomic sequence.